rnacentral:rRNA from 1 species
UACGGAGGGGGCGAGCGUUAUUCGGAAUUACUGGGCGUAAAGGGCGCGUAGGCGGCCCUGUAAGUCAGAGGGUGAAAUCCCUCGGCUCAACCGAGGAACUGCGUUGGAAACUGGAGGCUCGAGUCCGGAAGAGGGCAGUGGAAUUCCAGGUGUAGCGGUGAAAUGCGUAGAUAUCGGGAGGAACACCAGUGGCGAAGGCGGCUGCCUGGGCCAGUUCUGACGCUGAGGCGCGAAAGCCUGGGGAGCAAAC